CGGCUCAUCACCUAUUAUCUCGGACUCCAGAUUUUGUGUAAAAAGCGUGAGGCUGCUCCUCAUUGACACCCACUUAGAAGUUGGUUGAUGAAGACUGCAGUGAGCACUCUCAGCAAGGGUAAAACUGGCACAUUUGGGCCUGAAAUGGGGUCCUCGGGGCCUGGUAGGCUCAAGUAUGCCCUUGGUAAUUUCCAGCUUACAGAGAAAAGAAGAGCGUUCACUUUGUUUCUGCUGGCAGGGUGAAAAGGGGCAGCUACGUGGCCAAAGGUUACACGUUUUCCCUCACUGCGAACUGUCAGCCUUAUUCCGAGUAUAGCCACCACUGACUUCUGACCCUGGACGGUGUCAUUCACCGGGAACUCUUAACGUCUCCGGCCGAGAAAGGAGGGGACGGUAGCUAACUCUUUCGGCGGAGCUGAACCCCUACCCCCUCCCUCCUGUGACCCGAGCCUACUGCGAGACCUGGACACCGCCAAGUGGGGCAACGUUUCGCUCUUACAGCAGCUUCCCGACCUCUGCUAACUCCCAGGCCAUUUCAGAAGGCGCAAAGGGGAGAAGGAAAAGUUCAGAGAGCAAACGUUGCUCUCUAGCCUCCCCCAACCUCCAGUUCCUCUCUUCCUUCCCCUGCUGUCCAAACUUCAUACUGUCCACCAGGGGAGACUGCCCCCCGACUCGGCUGUCCCUCACUAACGCGGUGGUCCCCGACCUAGGGUCGCAGAUGCACUUCCCGAGGCACAUGCGGGCGCAACAAGGUAACUGCGCUCCAGGCGUGGAACCCCAGUCCUGAGCGAUGUGAAACCAACCCCAAGCGGGCUGUGCUCACAGUUUGGGAAAAGGUAAUGUCUCUGAUCCCCCCAUAUCCACCCCUCCCCCAACCCUUGAGGACAGAUUCGGGUACCGCAAAACCGCCAGGCACAGAAGGGAGGAGAGCUGGGACGGACAGGCUACUCCCGGGGAGGGGAUCACCUCCACGUUCCCGCUCCAAGCGGCUGGUAGCUGCUAGUAAUUCAGACUUCUGGCCUCGGAGGAAGAGUGC
rnacentral:lncRNA from 1 species